rnacentral:rRNA from 1 species
CCUACGGGUGGCAGCAGUGGGGGAUAUUGCACAAUGGGCGAAACCCUGAUGCAGCGACGCCGCGUGGACGAAGAAGUAUUUCGGUAUGUAAACUUCUAUCAACAGGGAAGAGUAGAUGACGGUACCUGUCUAAGAAGCACCGGCUAACUACGUGCCAGCAGCCGCGGUAAUACGUAGGGUGCAAGCGUUAUCCGGAUUUACUGGGUGUAAAGGGCGUGUAGCCGGGAUGGCAAGCCAGAUGUGAAAGCCUGCGGCCUAACCGCAGGAAUGCAUUGGAAACUAUCGAGCUGGAGUACUGGAGAGGUAGGCGGAAUUCCUAGUGUAGCGGUGAAAUGCGUAGAUAUUAGGAGGAACACCAGUGGCGAAGGCGGUCUGCUGGACAGCAACUGACGGUGAGGCUCGAAAGCGUGGGGAGCAAACAGGAUUAGAUACCCCAGUAGUC